UGGAGCAUGUGGUUAAUUCGAAGCAACGCGAAGAACCUUACCAGGUCUUGACAUCCCGAUGCUAUUUCUAGAGAUAGAAAGUUACUUCGGUACAUCGGUGACAGGUGGUGCAUGGUUGUCGUCAGCUCGUGUCGUGAGAUGUUGGGUUAAGUCCCGCAACGAGCGCAACCCCUAUUGUUAGUUGCCAUCAUUCAGUUGGGCACUCUAGCGAGACUGCCGGUAAUAAACCGGAGGAAGGUGGGGAUGACGUCAAAUCAUCAUGCCCCUUAUGACCUGGGCUACACACGUGCUACAAUGGUUGGUACAACGAGUUGCGAGUCGGUGACGGCGAGCUAAUCUCUUAAAGCCAAUCUCAGUUCGGAUUGUAGGCUGCAACUCGCCUACAUGAAGUCGGAAUCGCUAGUAAUCGCGGAUCAGCACGCCCGCGGUCGAAUACGUUCCGGGCCUU
rnacentral:rRNA from 1 species